rnacentral:rRNA from 1 species
GAUGAACGCUAGCGGCAGGCCUAAUACAUGCAAGUCGAACGGUGUAGCAAUACACAGUGGCGCACGGGUGCGUAACACGUAUGCAACCUACCUUACAUUGGGGGAUAGCCUUUCGAAAGGGAGAUUAAUACCGCAUAAGACAGUAACUAGGCAUCUAGUAGCUGUUAAAGAUUUAUCGAUGUAAGCUGGGCAUGCGUCCAAUUAGUUAGUUGGCGAGGUAAUGGCUCACCAAGACGAUGAUUGGUAGGGGAACUGAGGGGUCAAUCCCCCACACUGGCACUGAGAUACGGGCCAGACUCCUACGGGGGGCAGCAGUAGGGAAUAUUGGGCAAUGGGCGCAAGCCUGACCCAGCCAUGCCGCGUGCAGGAAGAAGGCGUUAUGCGUUGUAAACUGCUUUUAUACAGGAAGAAACGACCCUUGCGAGGGGCAUUGACGGUACUGUAUGAAUAAGCACCGGCUAACUCCGUGCCAGCAGCCGCGGUAAUAC